rnacentral:rRNA from 1 species
AUGUACCCAGUGGCUUGGGCUGUGGUGGAGAAAGAAACCAAUGAAAGCUGGAAGUGGUUUAUUGCUCUGUUAAUCAAAGAUUUGGAUAUUAAUGACCAAGGAGCAGACUGGGUUUUCAUUUCUGAUCAACAGAAGGUAAUGACUUGCUUGCUUUGCUUGCUUUACUUACAUAUUAAUGACAUGCUUGCCUUGCUUGCUUUACUUACUUGA